rnacentral:lncRNA from 14 species
UGUGGCUCUGUCAGCUGCUGACGUUUAUUGCACAGGAUGGGCUGGAGGGGAACGUGGACGCCUGGAGCUGGGCCCUGGCCCGCGGCUGUGCAGCUCCAGCACCAGGCCCCUCACUCACUGUGUGCAUUCAGCAUGGAAGGCUCCCCCUGCACACACACAUACACAUACAUACAUACACAUACAUACAUACACACACGUGUCCCUACCUGCACACACACCCUGGUACACACACGUGCCUUCCCCAGCCUCAAAGCUGGGUCUGGCUGUGGGGCAGCCCCAGGGUUUGGGGGCCCAAGCUCCAGUGUCUAUGGGGGCAGAUGGGCUGUGUUUUCCCCCCCUGCCGAGCCGUGGGGCUGGGUUUGGGGGUAGCGUGUUUGUGGGGUGCUCACAAGCCUCAGGGCAGCCAGCUCAACACCCUCCCCUCCAACUUACCUCCAGUGCUGGACCGUCACCCCUCACGUCGGGGCUGUGGAGGGGAGCAGGGACAGGCGCCGGGGGCGUCCUGCGGAUGCACACACACAGGGAUGGAUUCAGAGAUACCGCACACAGAGCUGGGCACGGGGAUGGUGCAGUGGCUUCUAUGGGGCGGCUGGGGGGCAGCGGGACGUGGGGGCCAGACUUUGGUCGGGGAGUGGGGCUCAGCCCGGUGGCCCCUGCAGUGGUUUGGGGUGGGGGGGGCGCAGCGGCCCCAUUGCCCACCCCCGGCACUCGGUGCUCCCAUCGGGCCCGGGGCGAGGCUGCGCUCGGUGCCCCUUGGCUCGGAGGUCACAAGUUGGAAGAGAGCCUGGACUUGGCCGGGUCCGUGUCGGGCGCGGCGGCCGCCGAGUCCUGCGGCCCUGCCAGCGCCGGGUGCGACGGGGACCCCCGUGCUGGAGCCGGGCCCCGCGGAGCCGAGGGGGCACCGGAGCCCGGGGAGGCGGCAGGCAGGGCCCCCACCGGAUGGAGGCGCAGGACUCGCGCGCCGAAGCCGGGGGGCUCUGGGUGCUGCCCGGGCCGUGGGGCAGGGAGGGCUGCGAGGCCGAGAGGGGCCUCGGAAUCCUGGGCUCAGGGCUGCUGGUGGGCAGCGCCUGCGUGCUCUUGUGUGCGGCCAAGCGCUGCGGAGAGCCCGGAGCCUGCUGCUGGCCCAGCGACAGCU